rnacentral:tRNA from 1 species
GGCCCGGUGGCGCAGUGGUUAGCACUAUUGCCUUGCAGGAAGGAGGUUCGACUCCUGGCUGGCUCA